rnacentral:tRNA from 1 species
GGUCGAAUGGUGCAACUGGUUGACACGCGGCGCUUAGAACGCCGUGCCGUAAGGCAAUGAGGGUUCGAAUCCCUCUUCGACCAC